rnacentral:lncRNA from 1 species
AGUGAGAUCCGGGAGGGGCUGCCUGCCAGGCCAUGCUGAGGAGAAUAAAUCAGCAUGGCUGACUGUGAAAGAAGAGUAAAGCUGAAAGUAGGCUACUGCACUCGGCAGAUCCGGAAAAAUCAAGGGGUAGAAUCCUAAUUGCUGAGGCCUGGGAAGUUAGGUGCAUGAUGAGAAAGGACAUGCGCAGAGCGUGCUGUAGAACACUGGAAGGAAAGGAUGGAGGGCUAGUCUUCUGGAAGAAGGAUCGCCUUCCCUCCCAUUUCUCUUUCUUUCCCUUCCUCCCCUCCUAAAUUCAUACUUUGAAGAUAAAGGUAACACUGAGC